GCACUUUGUUACCCUGGAGCUUCCUGAGCCAUUUCAGGGGAAGUAUGACAGAAGUGGAGCCUGUGUUGGAUUUUGCAUCAUCUGGACGCACUGGCCGAAGGAACGCCUUACCCGAUAUCCUGGGCUCACCAGCAGGGGUCAGUCCCACUGACUUACCACUGAAGCUGGCAGAAAUGUCUUUGAACUCAGACAGAUCUCAAGAAAUGCAAUCUCCAACCACAGAAGUGCCUCCUCAGGUACCCCAAAGUCCAGAGCUGAAAGAUACCUCCUAACCCAUCCUCAUGGGGCACUGCAAAGCUCACCUGAGAAAGAGGAAAGGCUUGCUAUAAUUAUCAAAGAAGUUUGCCUGGAACUUUUCUGGGAUUUCUGGGCAUGACUUGUCUCUCAUCUCUCAAUCCGAAGAAGCAACAGUGGAAGAUGGAGGGAAUAAGAGGCUGCAUGUUUUACAAAGACCAGGGUGGCGCCUUGAGGGACCCAUUUCCUUUGGCUGCUGGGAGGGACUUGAGUGAGUGAAAGGGAGAGCGCAAGAGGGUUGCCGGAAGGAUAGUUUUCCACACCUCCACUAUAAAACAGCAAGGCGGCAUAGGAAGCUGUCCUUAUAUGUGGUCAGACCAUUGGUGCAUCUGGUUCAAUAUUGUCUACCCUGAUUGGUGGCAGCAGCAGCUUUCCACCAUUUGAGACGGGAAGCUUUUCCAAAGCCCUGCGAGCAAAUGCCAGGGACCGGACUUGGGGCUUUCUGUGGACGAAGCACAUGUCGGAGCGACACCCUUCCCCGAAUUUGCACUGGUAUCACUUAGAGGAUCGCGCCAGUUCCUGAAGAAUCCAUGGGUGGUGAUGGUGAUUAUCUUACUUCACUGUGAUGUUUGCGGGAAAUGACUUCCUUGGUGUGUGUGUUUGUUUCACCAGCACAGUUAGUAUUCCUGUUCAUGAAACUUGUAGGACUAAGAUUGUCACGUGGGAAGUUGUCUGUUCGAGCUCAUGCUCCUUCCUGGGCGAUCAUCGCCUGAGGGUCCAUUUUUACUGCCCUGCACAUUUUGGAAAUGGAUGUUGUUUGUAGAAUCCAAUGACCCCAAUUUUCCCCCACCACAAAAAAGAAAAUAAAUGUGACCAUUCUUAGCAAA